rnacentral:rRNA from 1 species
GAUGAACGCUAGCGGGAGGCCUAAUACAUGCAAGUCGAACGGCAGCAUUUCGGAUGGCGAGUGGCGCACGGGUGAGUAACGCGUACAGACCUGCCUUGUACUGGAGGAUAGCCCUGGGAAACUGGGAGUAAUACUCCAUGGUAUCGUAAGAUUAAAGCUCCGGCGGUACAAGAUGGCUGUGCGUCUGAUUAGCUAGUUGGUGAGAUAGAGGCUCACCAAGGCGACGAUCAGUAGGGGGCGUGAGAGCGUGACCCCCCACACGGGUACUGAGACACGGACCCGACUCCUACGGGAGGCAGCAGUAAGGAAUAUUGGUCAAUGGAGGCAACUCUGAACCAGCCAUCCCGCGUGCAGGAUGACGGCCCUACGGGUUGUAAACUGCUUUUAUUAGGGAAGAAAAAUACGUUUUAGCGUACCUGACGGUACCUAAUGAAUAAGCACCGGCUAACUCCG